rnacentral:lncRNA from 1 species
CAACAUUCACUUAUUUAAAAUUUUCGCUUAUCUUGAUCACGUAUUUAAAGCACGUCCAGGCUGUGGUACAGUACAGUAGCAGGUCUAUUCUGCCAUCUAUAAAAAGAGCAUGUGAAGGCAGAUAUGCCAGUGCCAUAGCUGAGAGAUGGACGAACGAACUACUCACAUAGGCCACUGGUCCCUCCAGUGGAUUUGAUGUGACACCUAAGACUCAGAGACAUCAGGAGAUCUCCCACUAGCUGCAAAGGGAUGUAUGGUACAGGAUAGCAUCCUUUGUGCAGUGCUUCGAUUCAAGCCAGCCACACGCGAGCCUUGCUACAUGGAACUGAGGACUGAGCACUUGCUUCCUGCAUCGUUGCGGGUAUCACUUAUCAGUCCAGUCCUGGUAUGCAGUUCCAGCCUUGCUUGUUUUGUCAUUGGAGCAAGUCUAUGGCUAAAGUUAAGUUGAACAAAGCACGGUGGAUGUCUUAUGGUUAACCAAUCCUUAAAUCUGGCAGCAUGGGGAACACCAAAUUGACACAUGAUUUGAACACAACACAGUUUCAUCAGUCUAGGUGCCCUUAGUUGUCAAUGUACUGAAUAUCUACACUAGCCAGCAAAAAUGAAGGACAGAGGUUGGACAUACUCUGGUUGAACAAGUCCAACCAGUUGGAGGAUCCAAGACGUUCGUCUCUCAGCGUUGGAAAGAAUUUUGAAUUUUAUGUGUCACGUUUUC